rnacentral:tRNA from 1 species
AUUUAAGUAGCUUAUAUCUAAGAGCGUAGUGUUGAAGCCACUAAAGAAGUGAAAUACUCUUAAAUA